GGCUAUCACGGUAAUAGAGGUCUUUAGUGUUAUAUCGUUGCAAAAUUACUUUGGGAACGAAUCCAAAACUAUUGCACAGAUCAGAAACGUUAACAAGGUUUUAUAUAUGUACAACAAUCAGUUUUUACCAUGAGAAUUAUUAGCAAGAGGCAGCAACAUGGUGUUAUAUCUUAAACAGGAAACGUAAAAUUCUUCUCAAGAAUAAUAUUUGGGUUUUGUCCACCGCUUCGAUCUUGUUGUUCCGUUUUAUCGUGUUGUUGAAUCCGGGCUUUCUUGAAAGUGAAGUAAGGUGGAAGAAGAGUACUUCUUUGCAUAUAAAUCUUGGGAAGCUUGAGACUUAAGUUUGGAUUAGCUUAAGAAGCGGACAAGCCCCAGAUUAUUUUGCAGGAAAGAUUAUACAGGAGACUGACUGUAGGGUAUUCUCAGGCUAUCAAACUCCAUUUCAUUCGGAGUAUGGCCGAGUCAGAGUAUUUCUUUAUGAUUUGAGUUAGAUGCAUUAUGGGU